rnacentral:rRNA from 1 species
UACGAAGGGGGCUAGCGUUGUUCGGAUUUACUGGGCGUAAAGCGCACGUAGGCGGAUUGUUAAGUCAGGGGUGAAAUCCUGGAGCUCAACUCCAGAACUGCCUUUGAUACUGGCAAUCUUGAGUCCGGAAGAGGUGAGUGGAACUCCUAGUGUAGAGGCGGAAUUCGUAGAUAUUAGGAAGAACACCAGUGGCGAAGGCGGCUCACUGGUCCGGUACUGACGCUGAGGUGCGAAAGCGUGGGGAGCAAACAGG